rfam:Cathartes aura contig105283, whole genome shotgun sequence.
GUCUCUGUGGCACAAUCAGUUAGCACGUUUGGCUGUUAACCAAAAGGUUAGUGGUUUGAGCCCGCUCAGGGAGG